rnacentral:rRNA from 1 species
UACGUAGGGGCUAGCGUUGUCCGGAAUCAUUGGGCGUAAAGGGCGCGUAGGCGGCAUGACAAGUCACUUGUGAAAUCUCCGGGCUUAACUCGGAACGGUCAAGUGAUACUGUCGCGCUAGAGUGCGGAAGGGGCAAUCAGAAUUCUUGGUGUAGCGGUGAAAUGCGUAGAUAUCAAGAGGAAUACCUGAGGUGAAGACGGGUUGCUAGGCCGAACACUG